GGGGGCUAUGGGGGGCUAUGGGGGGCUAUGGGGCCAAUGGGGGGGUCCGGGGGGGGGGUCCGGGGGGGUCCGAAGCGCGGUCAGAAUUUGAACUCCUUGUAUUUCUUGCCCCCCCCGCGGGCGUCCUGCGGCUGCGCCUUCCGCUUCUUCUGCUUCUGCUUGGCGGCGUGCUCGGCCACCAUGUCGCUGAAGUCCUCCUUCUCCACCUGGGCCUGCUGCUCCCUCACGCGCUCCUCGUACUUCUGCGUCAUCGCCGUGGGGUCCAACUCCAACUCCUCGGGCGCCAACGCCACCUCCACUCCCUGCGCCUCCGCCGACGGCCCCUUCCGGCCCAUCACGGCGGCCAUGUCGUAGAUGUGCGUGGAUCCCAUCAUGGCGCCCCCCACGGUGGCCGUUCUCUUCUCGGGGACCACCGUGAACAGCUGUGGGGUCUCACUCC
rnacentral:lncRNA from 1 species